CACGGGGGGAGCAAGCGUUGUUCGGAAUCACUGGGCGUAAAGGGCGUGUAGGCGGUCUGGUAAGUGGGAUGUGAAAGCCCCCGGCUCACCCGGGGAUCUGCAUUCCAAACUGCCAGACUUGAGUAUGGGAGAGGACAGGGGAAUUCCUGGUGUAGCGGUGAAAUGCGUAGAUAUCAGGAGGAACACCGGUGGCGAAAGCGCCUGUCUGGCCCAAUACUGACGCUGAUGCACGAAAGCUAGGGGAGCAAACGGG
rnacentral:rRNA from 1 species